rnacentral:tRNA from 1 species
UCCCUCGUGGCGCAAUUGGCUAGCGCGUUCGACUGUUACACGAAAGGCAUCGAGAGGUUGGUGGUUCGAGCCCACCCGAGGGAG